GUUCCCAUGCCGAACACAGAAGUUAAGCUCCUUAGCGCCGAUGGUAGUUGGACUGACGUUCCGCUAGAGUAGGACGUUGCCAGGC
rnacentral:rRNA from 1 species